GCGGGUGUGGCGGAACGGCAGACGCGCCAGACUUAGGAUCUGGUGGGCUUCCCCCGUGGGGGUUCAAAUCCCCCCACCCGCACCA
rnacentral:tRNA from 1 species